UCUGAAGUUGAGAUAUCGAGAAGUACCUGAAAACAACAACAAACUCAAGAAAAUUAUUAAUUCAGGUUUGCAAUUUGGAUGAUUUUCAGCACAUACAGCAUCAACUGAAACAAUGAAAGUGCUGAACAUUCAGACCUGCCCAGUGAUGUGUUGAAGAGGCUUUCCAGAGCUCCAGGGGGAGUGGAGUCCUGAUCGUAGCCCUUGCAGAUUUUCUAGGGUUUAUGUCCCUGUCCUCUUCCACCUUGACCAGAAUCAAACUGGACGCGUGUACAACUCGGAGAAGUGAGGUGUGUGCGGACGGUUCUCACAAGCCACACGAGCUGUCUCCAACAUCACUGGAACCAUCUUUGCUAAUAUUUUAGGCUAAAUCCUUGAAAGUGGAAUUUCU